ACAGAGGGUGCGAGCGUUGUUCGGAAUCAUUGGGCGUAAAGGGCGCGUAGGCGGCCUUCUAAGUCGGACGUGAAAUCCCCAGGCUUAACUUGGGAACUGCGUCCGAUACUGGAGGGCUUGAGUGCGGGAGAGGGAUGUGGAAUUCCAGGUGUAGCGGUGAAAUGCGUAGAUAUCUGGAGGAACACCGGUGGCGAAGGCGGCAUCCUGGACCGACACUGACGCUGAGGCGCGAAAGCCAGGGGAGCAAACGGGA
rnacentral:rRNA from 1 species